GAAAAUCCAGGACUUUUACCUGGAAAAAAUAGAGUGUUCAAGCAGGCCUUGCUCGAUACGUAGCAUGGAUAAUAAAAUAAGGGCGUGGCGUUCUAUUUGUUGGUUUCUAGAGGACGCCGGCAAUGAUACAGGAACAAGUCGGGGGCAUCAGUAUUCAGUUGUCAGAGGGUGAAAUUCUUGGAUUUACUGAAGACUAACUACUGCGGAAAGCGUUUGCCAAGGAUGUUUUCAUUAAUCAGUGAACGAAAGUUAGGGGAUCGAAGACGAUCAGAUACCGUCGUAGUCUUAACCGUAAACUAUGCCGACUAGGGAUCGGGCGAUGUUCUUUUUCUGACUCGCUCGGCACCUUACGAGAAAUCAAAGUUUUUGGGUUCUGGGGGGAUUAUGGUCGCAAGGCUGAAACUUAAAGAAAUUGACGGAAGGUCACCACCAGGCGUGGAGCCUGCGGCUUAAUUUGACUCAACACGGGGAAACUCACCAGGUCCAGAUGAAAUAAGGAUUGACAGAUUGAGAGCUCUUUCUUGAUUUUUCAGGUGGUGGUGCAUGGCCGUUCUUAGUUCGUGGGGUGACUUGUCUGCUUAAUUGCGAUAACGAGCGAGACCUUACUCUGCUAAAUAGCCAGGCUAGCUUUGGCUGGUCGCCGGCUUCUUAGAGAGACUAUCAACUCAAGUUGAUGGAAGUUUGAGGCAAUAACAGGUCUGUGAUGCCCUUAGAUGUUCUGGGCCCCACGCGCGCUACACUGACAGAGCCAACGAGUUCUUCACCUUGACCGAAAGGUCUGGGUAAUCUUGUUAAACUCUGUCGUGCUGGGGAUAAAGCAUUGCAAUUAUUGCUUUUCAACGAGGAAUGCCUAGUAAGCGCGUGUCAUCAGCAUGCGUUGAUUACGUCCCUGACCUUUGCACUCACCGCCCGUC
rnacentral:rRNA from 1 species